GUGCUCGUGCCAUGUGCCUGUCAGUUCUGCAAGCAUUUAUUGGAUGUGAAGGUUGGUGUGAUGACCACGCUGCCCACAACAGGCAAAAGAGUGCAGACAGCUGAGGCUCCUCACUUCCCGCUCCAAAGCUCAGAACCUCCCUUCCCUCCUGGAUCCAACAGAAGCAGUGGCCACUGCUGCCUGUGCCUCUCAAACUUGUCACCCACGGAUGCUGGGAAAAAUGCACAUAAAAUGACUGGAUGGAGAUGACCCAGGAAGGGGCCCUGUUGCCCAGGAAAUGGGCUUGUCCUGAACCACAGCUUGAAGGAGAACCACCGACUGAUCAGGAAUACCCAACUGGACUUUAUUCCAGCAACAUACAAAGCAUUACUGUGCUGGGCCAUGGUAUAUUCUUGGGUUUCUUUUAUUAGAACACUUGGCAUUACCUUCACUAAUAUACACUCAUCAGAGUAGACAUUUUCACUAGUUAUAGAUGAUAUGCACUAUUUUCCCUUCUGAAACAGAAAUUUGCAGCAGCACUGCCAAAGGACAAUAGAUUUUUAAAAAUCAUAGAAUGACUGGAGUUCAUGUCUCUGCAAAGAACAUCUAAGCCCUAAGCCAUCCAGAGUGGAUGAGGCAUCUCUGCAUGAGUUAAAUUACACACUCCAGCUGCUGUAACCAAGAAUGAGUUUCACAGUGGUCAAAACGACAUAGAAGUUUAGUUCUCAUGCAUGUAACAGUCCAAAUGCAGCUCCACAGUGGCAAGGAGCCAGCGUCCUUUCUCUUGCUGUCCUGCUGUGCUCAACAGGUGGCUUCUGUCUUUGAGUCCCACGUGGCUGCUCUGGCCCCAGCCAUCAUUUCUAUACUCCAGCAGGUGGCAAGUGGGAAGAAGAAAGGGAGAGCUUAUGCCUUUCACUUUAGGGACACUUGGCCUAGUGCUGCUCACAUCACCCUGCUCACCUUGUGUUGGGACCAGAAUCUAGUCACAUGGCAGCAAAUAGCUGUGAGGAAUAUUGGGAAAGGUUGUCUUUGGCUACUUGGCCUCAUGACCAUCGGAAACUGCUGUACUACAAAAGGUGGGUUCUGAUCAUCUUAGUUGGGAAUGCUGUGACAAAUGACCAUAGCCUGGGGGCUUAAACAACAAACAUUUAUUUCACACAGUCCUGGAGGCUGGAGAUCCAAGAUCAAAAUGCUGGCUGGCUUGGUGUCUGGUGAGGGCUUGCAGAAAGCCACUUGUUGUAUCCUCAAAUGGUAGAGAGAGAGAGAGAGACAGAGAGAGACAGAGAGAGGCAGAGAGAGAGAGAGAGGGAGCAAGCUCUCUUGAGCCUCUUAUCAGGGCACUAAUCCCAUCUUGAGGGGUCCCUCCUCAUGGCCUAAUCAAUCAUCUCCCAAACGCCUCAACUCCCAACACCAUCAUGUUUUGGGUGAGGGUUUCAGCACAUGAAUUUGGAGGGGACACAGACAUUCAGUGUGCAGAGGCUGCCACUGUGCCUCUCUGUCCCCAUCCCUUUCCUGACACCUUAGGGUGUGUGUCCCCACAGGCAAGCAAUGUCCUUCAGCAUCUCUUCCCAGGAGCCCCUGAGCACCCGCUUCCCUCUCACUUUAUUACUGCUCCUAUCCAUACAGGUUUGGGCAGGAGAACAGGAGCCACACUCAGUAUUUAGAGAAAAGAGAGACAGAGAGCACAAGCGAGAGAGAUUGACUUAAUCCAGGAAAUUAGAGGCUCACACAGACAUUGGAAGGGAGCGGUGAAGGUUAGUUUUAGGAAACCCAGAAGUGCAGAGAUGAUGAGGAAGCCCCGAAAUGCCCCUGGCAGCCCGCAGUGCCCAGUGAGCCAUUCCCAGGGAACGCCUGGGAACCGCCAGAGGCUGACAAGCCUGGAACCACUGGGGGAGGGGACCUGGGAAACUGGGGAGAACAUGGAGGUGACGGGAUGAUGCUGAGUUGAAACGGACAACCCAAUGCAGGCUUCCUCUCCUUGCUUCUCAGCCCAGCAGGGCGGCUGGCUCAUUUGUGGGAUUUAUCAUCAACCAAGGGUUUUCAGGGGGUUGAAAAUGGCUCAUUAUCCCUCCUAGAUAAUGUUGCCUCUUAGUAGAGGAUUUGAUGCUUUGACCCAGACAUGAUUCCUCCUGUGGGCAUGACAAUAUAUAUUUUUUCUUUUCAACUUUUAGUCUAAGUUCCAGGGUACAUGUGCAGGAUGUGCAGGUUUGUUACAUAGGUAGAUGUGUGCCAUGGUGGUUUGCUUUGAAGCAGAGACUGGUGGGUGCGUAGCAAGGCCAGCUCCGCCCUGCUCCAGCCUCUCCUGGCUCUGCCCCCUGCCCUCCACUCAGCACUUGGUUUCUGCAGUCACCUCCCCUCUCCGGUCUCUCCGGGUAUGGCCCCUCUCUGGGUCACUCCCAUCAGCAUUCAUCCUCGUCUCCAGGCAUGGGAGGCCUCCGUGACCCCAUGCCCCUGAGCACCGCUGCCCUAUUUCUCUGGUCCCUUUUGUGGCCAGAGUCCUCAGAAGAGCUGGCUGCCCACCGCCUCUCCUCCCGCCCCUCUGCUGAGGCUGUAUCGUGACCACGCCACCCCCCUGCCACAUCAGGGGGCCUGCCCUCUGUCCUCCUCUUUUGUUUCCUCUUCGUUGCUUUUCUCACGCUUGGCCCUUCAUCCCUUCUCUCCUGGGCUCCCCGGACCUCUGCGCAUGGGUUUCUUUCUGCCCCUGUCUCUUUCCCUGCAUUCUUGUCCUCUUCUCGGCAUUCUGUUUUCAGUCUGUCCCUCUGCCAUGUGACUGAUCAGUACACGUGAGUACAUGGGAUAUGUUCCCCAAACCAUGGAGGCUGGGCUUAGCCAUGUGACCUGCUUUGGCCAAGGAUGUUUUGACAGCACUGCACAAGCAGAGGUCUCCGCUGUGCUUCUGCAGUGGCGGGGCUCCCCCCCGGGGCUCCUGUCACCUGCCUGGGGAGAACGUGCCCCAGGCAUGGCCCUUCCAGAGAGUGUGGAAUCCCCGGGGAAGCCCAGAUGAUCCACAGCCAGACGCUGGCUGAGGUUGAGAAACUGGCACUUGUUGAUGUCAGCCACCGAGUUUGGAGUUUUGGAGUGGCUUGUCAGACAGCAGCAUUGUAGCAAUGGCCGAAUCAUCCAUGAAGACGCUGAAUUUCAUUUUUGUUUUUUGUUACGGCAGCAUAACUUUGCUGAUCUGGUCUGUGACAAAAUAACUUUUUCCUCUGUCAGUCUUUCUCUUUUCAUU
rnacentral:lncRNA from 1 species